GUCCAUGUGUAGCAGGUAUUGUCAGCGACAAGAUGCCCAGAUACGGCCUGUUUGGAGAUACUGUCAACACACCUCCAGAAUGGAGUCCACUAGCCUGCGUAGGUGUACACACACACACAUACAGUACAGUAUGCAGGCACCUGUUCCCAAUGCUGUGUGUGUGUCUGUGUCUGUGUCAGCUCAGAGGAUCCACGCCAGCUCAGCCACCUACCUGGCCCUGAUGAAGGACUGUGUCUACGAGCUCCAUCUGAGAGGAGAGACCGACGUGAAGAUUUGCGUCCAGAACUACACUACAAGACCAAAAGUGUGUGGACACCCGCUCGUCGAACAUCUCAUUCCAAAAUCAUGGGUAUUAAUAUGGAGUUGGUCCCCCCCCCCCCCCUCUUUGCUGCAAUAACACUGAUGUUGGGCGAUUAGGCCUGGCACACAGUUGGCGUUCCAAUUCAUUCCAAAGGUGUUCGAUUGGGCUGAGGUCAGGGCUCUGUGCAGUCCAGUCAAGUUCUUCCACACCAAUCUCGACAAACCAUUUCUGUAUUUACCUCGCUUUGUGCACUGGGGCAUUGUCAUGUUGAAACAGAAAAGGACCUUCCCCAAACUUUUGCCACAAAAACAUCCCCAGACCAUUAUUCCUCCUCCACCAAACUUUACAGUUGGCACUAUGCAUUCUGGUAGUGAGUGUUGCAACCGAGGACAGACGAUUUUUACGCUAUUCGGCACUCGGCGGUCCUGUUCUGUGAGCUUGUGUGGCCUACCACUUCGCGGCUGAGCCGUUGUUGCUCCUAUACAUUUCCACUUCACAAUAAGAGCACUUACAGUUGACCGGAGCUGCUCAAGCAGGGCAGAAAUCUGACGAACUGACUAGCAAGAGACCCCGGUUUGACACACACACACACAGAGGCACAGCAGCACCAAUCCAGUCUAGGCCAGGCAUAAGUGACACGGUGACAGUUGGGUUAACAAAGAUGGGGACAUAGGAUACAUAGGAAAAAGUCUUGUCCCUAGCUAAAAUAAGUUGAACCUUUUUCAGAUCGGGAUACAACAAUCUGAAUGCACGUUAUCUAUGUAUUCACAUUAGCACUUAGCCAUCCACUAUAGUUCCCUAAUGAAAAAUAUACAUUUUAUCCCAAUGAGACUAACCAGUUGAUUCCCAUGACCGCUAUAUGAACACCUGCUGAUGAGAGGUGAUAUUUACAAGAAGCUCUUGUCAUAUGGCCCAACAAUGAAUUGCAAGCAAUCGGGGCCUUUUUGAAUGCCAAGCUUGUCAUUUACUUAAAUUAAUGCUAGCAGCAGCCAGAGACUUGACAUCUGACCUCUCAAUAACUGAGCUAAGUGUAUAAACAACACAUCUGAUUGGCUGACUGGACCUGGUGACAUAAGAAUAUUGAGUUUAUGCUGCGUUCGUAAUCAUGUUCGGAAUCAAGUGGUAAGUGGGAAUUUACCACCAUAGAGUUAGAUAAAGGACCACCAUUUUAAAGUAGUAAACUGGGUGGGCCUUCCUAUUGGUAAAGGAAGGAUCACAUGAUUCCAUCAGGAGGGAUCAGCCAAUGAAUUAUACUCCUGAGCAAACUUUCUGUAACUGUAGGUGGCAGUAAAUCCCCAACCUUUGCUUUAUACCUAUUCAAACAACACAUUUUAGCUGGCAGUAUGCACUCUUUCAGUUUGUACGAGAAAAAGAAAAUGACUACUACAAAAUGGAGAGGGCCUCAAUGGCGCUGCCCGUGCGCUCACAUACGUCAUAAUGGGACAGAUAUAAAGAUUAUAUCUCUAUCAUGCUCUAUGUUUACCAAAUAUGACUGGAAAAAUAUAUAUUUGAAUGGACCUCCAACUGGUAAUUACUGGUGGGAAACUCGUCAUUGAGCUCUAUUUAGGCCAUCUCCAUUUUGAACUAGUACAUUUUCUUCUUCUAC
rnacentral:lncRNA from 1 species